UUGCCUUUUAAUUGGAGGCUUGUAUGAACGGACACACGAAAACGCAACUUUCUUAUCGAGGAAAAUAAAAAUUAACCUUCAAGUGAAGAGACUUGAAUAUCAUAAAAAGACGAAAAGACCCUAUGGAGCUUUACUUAAAUUAUUAAACCACAAAUAAAAAAAGCUUUUUUUACUAAAAAAGUUUAGUUGGGGCGACUAAGGAGCACACAUCACCCUCCUACUGACAAAAGACUCUAAAUCUACAAAAGAUCCACAAACGUGAAUAAAAACCCAGCUACCCUAGGGAUAACAGGCUAAUCCUCCUUAAGAGCUCAAAUUGACAGGAGGGCUUGGCACCUCG
rnacentral:rRNA from 1 species